UACGAAGGGGGCUAGCGUUGCUCGGAUUGACUGGGCGUAAAGGGCGCGUAGGCGGUUCGUACAGUCAGACGUGAAAUUCCUGGGCUCAACCUGGGGGCUGCGUUUGAUACGUGCGGACUUGAGUGCGGAAGAGGGUCGUGGAAUUCCCAGUGUAGAGGUGAAAUUCGUAGAUAUUGGGAAGAACACCGGUGGCGAAGGCGGCUCACUGGACCGACACUGACGCUGAGGCGCGAAAGCGUGGGGAGCAAACAGG
rnacentral:rRNA from 1 species